rnacentral:rRNA from 1 species
GAUGAACGCUAGCUACAGGCUUAACACAUGCAAGUCGAGGGGAAACGACAUCGAAAGCUUGCUUUUGAUGGGCGUCGACCGGCGCACGGGUGAGUAACGUGUAUCCAACCUGCCCAUCACUUGGGAAUAACCUUGCGAAAGUAAGACUAAUACCCAAUGACAUCCCACGAAGACAUCUGAAUGGGAUUAAAGAUUUAUCGGUGAUGGAUGGGGAUGCGUCUGAUUAGCUUGUUGGCGGGGUAACGGCCCACCAAGGCAACGAUCAGUAGGGGUUCUGAGAGGAAGGUCCCCCACAUUGGAACUGAGACACGGUCCAAACUCCUACGGGAGGCAGCAGUGAGGAAUAUUGGUCAAUGGGCGAGAGCCUGAACCAGCCAAGUAGCGUGCAGGAUGACGGCCCUAUGGGUUGUAAACUGCUUUUAUAAGGGAAUAAAGUGGGUCUCGUGAGACUUUUUGCAUGUACCUUAUGAAUAAGGACCGGCUAAUUCCGUG